rnacentral:rRNA from 1 species
UACGUAGGCAGCGAGCGUUGUUCGGAAUUACUGGGCGUAAAGAGUGUGUAGGCGGUGCUCUAAGUUCGGUGUGAAAUCUCCCGGCUUAACUGGGAGGGUGCGCCGGAAACUGGAGUGCUCGAGCGUGGGAGAGGAAAGCGGAAUUCCUGGUGUAGCGGUGAAAUGCGUAGAUAUCAGGAGGAACACCUGCGGUGUAGACGGCUUUCUGGACCAUUGCUGACGCUGAGGCACGAAAGCGUGGGUAGCAAACAGG